rnacentral:rRNA from 1 species
UCCGUAGGUGAACCUGCGGAAGGAUCAUUACCUAGAGUUGUAGGCUUUGCCUGCUAUCUCUUACCCAUGUCUUUUGAGUACCUUACGUUUCCUCGGCGGGUCCGCCCGCCGAUUGGACAAUUUAAACCAUUUGCAGUUGCAAUCAGCGUCUGAAAAAACUUAAUAGUUACAACUUUCAACAACGGAUCUCUUGGUUCUGGCAUCGAUGAAGAACGCAGCGAAAUGCGAUAAGUAGUGUGAAUUGCAGAAUUCAGUGAAUCAUCGAAUCUUUGAACGCACAUUGCGCCCCUUGGUAUUCCAUGGGGCAUGCCUGUUCGAGCGUCAUUUGUACCUUCAAGCUCUGCUUGGUGUUGGGUGUUUGUCUCGCCUCUGCGUGUAGACUCGCCUCAAAACAAUUGGCAGCCGGCGUAUUGAUUUCGGAGCGCAGUACAUCUCGCGCUUUGCACUCAUAACGACGACGUCCAAAAGUACAUUUUUACACUCUUGACCUCGGAUCAGGUAGGGAUACCCGCUGAACUUAAGCAUAU